UGACACAAGAUGGCGUCCUGGCGGCUGAAACGGUGUUUGAACUCAGCCGAAGAAGAAGCGGGAGCGUCUGAGUAAACAGACCCAGCGGAACAUGGCGCCUCUCAGCCGGAGGACCGUGGACAGGAUUUAUUCUGCGGUCCUGCUGGGUCUGGUGGUUCUGUCCUGGUCUUAUGUGAUCUACGCCAGCAGGAUCGCAGCUUAUUGGCUGCUGGAGAAAAGGACCGCCCUGCUGCAGGAGGACUGACGGCGCCGCUGCAGGCUGGUGCUGGGAGACGUUCUGGUUCUGGACCAGAAACUACCAGCUGCUGGACUGGACCAACAGGAUUAUUCUGGAAACCAGGGCUGCCAGUUUAUUUUGGCAGCGCCCAGUGGACCCGGAGGAGAUGUUCUGAGAACCGCAGCCUGAGAACAGCUGAGAGUCCAGCAGGUUUCUGGAUCAGAACCGACAACGAAUCCAGGUCUGAACAGAACUGCUGAGAAACCCAGAGAUGAUUCGGUUUACCUGAGGAAAACAGAAACUUUAAAAUAAUUCAGUUUAAACUGAAACUUUAAAAUAAUUCAGUUUAUCUGAGGAAAACAGAAACGUUUUAAAUUCCUGGUUCAGUUUGGAUCCAGAGGUUCACCGACUCGAUGGUCUGCAGCCGCUCAGAUCUGUGAAUCUUUGUUUGUCUAUAAGUUUGUUAUCAUCCAGAAGGACAACAAAGUUAAACAGAAUAAAAACUGUUUUCAGUAAAAAUGUCUUCAUAAAAACAGAAAUCGAUUAUUUGGAGGAAACAUUUCAGUUAAACUGCGAUGUUUGAGGAUAUUUAAUUAUUAUCUCCAAGGUUUUUUAUUUUUAACAGAAGACUGACAGACUGAGGAGUCGAGUGGCUGAAAACCGUUAAAGAUGUUUGUGACCCAAAGUUUGCAAGAAUAAAUGAAAACAAACUUUAGUCAGGAUGUUGGACUCAGUGAUGAUUUAGGGCAGAGACAGAAAUAUGUCAGCAAAAAUGUUAGAUUUGUUCUUUGGGUUCAUCUUCAUAUGAAACAUAAUUAAUGAUUUUAAUGAUAUAAGUAAAACAUAAUAAGUUAAUGUAAACAGUUCCAUGUCUGUUCAUUAAAAUCUUUCUAUUGA